rnacentral:rRNA from 1 species
GACGAACGCUGGCGGCGUGCCUAAUACAUGCAAGUAGGACGCAGUUGCGAACGGGUGAGUAACGCGUCGGUAACUGCCUAUUAGAGGGGGAUAACUAUUGGAAACGAUAGCUAAUACCGCAUACUGGUCGAUGGACCUGCGUUGUAUUAGCUAGUAGGUAGGGUAAUGGCAUACCUAGGCGACGAUACAUAGCGGACAUGAGAGGGUGUGCGGCCACACUGGGACGGAGACACGGCCCAGAGUCCUACGGGAGGCAGCAGUAGGGAAUCUUCGGGAAUGGGUGGAAACCUGACCAAGCAAGGCCGCGGGAGUGAGGAAGAUUUUCGGAUGGGAAAUCACUGUUGUUAAGGAGGCGGUACUUAACCAGAAAGGGACGGCUAACUACGUGCCAGCAGCCGCGGUAAUUC